CAGUCGCCGCGGGAAUACGUAGGGUGCAAGCGUUAAUCGGAAUUACUGGGCGUAAAGCGUGCGCAGGCGGUUAUAUAAGACAGAUGUGAAAUCCCCGGGCUCAACCUGGGAACUGCAUUUGUGACUGUAUAGCUAGAGUACGGCAGAGGGGGAUGGAAUUCCGCGUGUAGCAGUGAAAUGCGUAGAUAUGCGGAGGAACACCGAUGGCGAAGGCAAUCCCAUGGGCCUGUACUGACGCUCAUGCACGAAAGCGUGGGGAGCAAACAGGAUUAGAUACCCCCGUAGUCCCUGUCUCUUAUAC
rnacentral:rRNA from 1 species